CGGAGGAAAAGAAACUAACAAGGAUUCCCCUAGUAGCGGCGAGCGAAGCGGGAAGAGCUCAAAUUUAUAAUCUGGCACCUUCGGUGUCCGAGUUGUAAUCUCUAGAAGUGUUUUCCGCGUUGGACCGCACACAAGUCUGUUGGAAUACAGCGGCAUAGUGGUGAGACCCCCGUAUAUGGUGCGGACGCCCAACGCUUUGUGAUACACUUUCGAAGAGUCGAGUUGUUUGGGAAUGCAGCUCAAAUUGGGUGGUAAAUUCCAUCUAAAGCUAAAUAUUGGCGAGAGACCGAUAGCGAACAAGUACCGUGAGGGAAAGAUGAAAAGCACUUUGGAAAGAGAGUUAACAGUACGUGAAAUUGUUGGAAGGGAAACGCUUGAAGUCAGACUUGCUUGCCGAGCAAUCGGUUUGCAGGCCAGCAUCAGGUUUCCGGGGUGGAUAAUGGUAGAGAGAAGGUAGCAGUUUCGGCUGUGUUAUAGCUCUCUGCUGGAUACACCUUGGGGGACUGGGGAACGCAGUGUGCCUUACGGCGGAUUUCUCGAGAUCUUCACACUUAGGAUGCUGGUGGAAUGGCUUUAAACGAC
rnacentral:rRNA from 1 species